UUACUUCUCUGAGCCUGAGUUUCUUCACCUAUAAAAGGAUGAUAACAUUGGCUUAACUUGGGUGUGGGAUUGGCCAGAAUAAUGGAUGUGAGAUGCCUUGCACCAGGGCCUGGGAAGCGGGCUGAGCACCUUGAGAAAGAGGUGAUUUUCUUUUUUUUUUUUUUUUUUUUUCUGUGAGGGAAUCUCACUCUGUCACCCACGCUGGAGCUCAGUGGUAUGAUCUCAGCUCACUGCAACCUCUGCCUCCCAGUUCAAGUGAUUCUUGUGCCUCAGCCUCCCAAGUAGCUGGGAUUACAAGCAUGCGCCACCACGCCCGGUUAAUUUUUGUAUUUUUAGUAGAGAUGGGGUUUCACCAUGUUGACCAGGCUGGUCUCCAACUCCUGACCUUAGGUGAUCCGCCUGCCUUGGCCUUCCAAAGUGCUGGGAUUACAGGCAUGAGCCAUUGUGCCCAGCCCAAGAGGUGCUUUUCUAUUUUUAAUUUUUUAUUUAUUUAGAGACAGAGUCUCACUCUGUCGCCCAGGCUGGAGUGCCGUGGUGCGGUCUCAGCUCACUGCAAUCUUGGCUUCCUGAGUUCAAGCGAUUCUCCUGCCUCAGCCUCCCGGGUAGCUGGGACUACAGGCACGCACCACCAUGCCCGGCUAAUUUUUGUAUUUUUAGUAGAGACAAGGUUUCACCAUGUUGGCCAGGCUGGUCUCCAACUCCUGACCUCAGGAGAUCCACCCGCCUUGGCCUCCCAAAGUGCUGAGAUUACAGGCAUGAGCCACCGUGCCCGGCCCCAAGAGGUGCUUUUCUAAUGCUGCUUGCGGGGGUGGUUGGACAGGAGGAUCUAGGGUUGGCCUCUUAACUCUGGGUCCUGAUUGUGUGAAUUCCAGUGUGGUGGGACUGAGGGGGCAGAUGUGGCUCCUCUUUACCAUGGGUCUGGGCGGGGGGCACUGCCUCCUGUGGGGGAUCCUAUAUCCUUGUCCAGAAAAUAGCAGAGAGUAGAGGAAGCGGAAUGGGGGCAAGAAGAGGUAGGCUGAUUCCUCACCCAAACUGGAAACCCCAACCGGGGACCUCCCACAGUGGGGCACUGAUUGCUGCUACAUGUGUCCUGCUAGGCCAGGGGCAUAAGAAGACUACUUGGGGAAGGGGCCUGUGGCACUGGGAACAGAAGCUGGGUGACCCCCACCACACAGGAGGGACUCUUGCCUGUGUCCGCCUUUCCAGUUUCUUGGCUCUGGUUCUUUCCAGGCAGAUCAGCCAACCCACAGGCACCACCCUGUGAUCAGCCUCUACUAGCCCUUCCCCAGAUGGGCAUCAAAGGUUAGCAUGACUGUUGGGGCUCACGCGGCCCCUUAGGACCUGGGCUCCAGUGUGUCUGAUCCCACACUCCCUUGGGGCACUCCACACAGUCUGUGUGUAUCUUUCUCUUUUUGGUUUUAAGACACCUGUUUUCCAGCUCUGCCUACCUAACCACCCCCCUUCUUGACAUCCCGGGAGUCACAGCUUGGGGAGGUUUCAGGAGAAGCCCCUGGAGCAAUUGGCCAGCCCAGCCCAAAUCCAAAUGUCUCUCAGGACCCCCCUCCAGGGUCCAGGGAGCCACCCCCUGUUGGCAUUGCCUUUGAUCCUUGCCAUGGUUCUGGCCCCGUCCUCCCAUUGGGAUUGGGUCCUCAGCAAGUAGUGCCAGUUUUCCUGACUGCCACACCUCAGGCUGGCCCCUGUGCACACAGCUUGAGUGAUGGCCAAGAAUAAGUCCUCCUGAAGGGAGUCCAAGCCCAGGGUUCUGGGCUGGGGGAACCUGGGGACAGGGACAAUGGAGGAGCCAAUCUUAAACCCUUGGCAAUGGGAGAUGGAGG
rnacentral:lncRNA from 1 species